rnacentral:rRNA from 1 species
CCUACGGGUUGCAGCAGUAGGGAAUCUUCCGCAAUGGACGAAAGUCUGACGGAGCAACGCCGCGUGAGUGAUGAAGGCUUUCGGGUCGUAAAACUCUGUUGUUAGGGAAGAACAAGUGCUAGUUGAAUAAGCUGGCACCUUAACGGUACCUAACCAGAAAGCCACGGCUAACUACGUGCCAGCAGCCGCGGUAAUACGUAGGUGGCAAGCGUUAUCCGGAAUUAUUGGGCGUAAAGCGCGCGCAGGUGGUUUCUUAAGUCUGAUGUGAAAGCCCACGGCUCAACCGUGGAGGGUCAUUGGAAACUGGGAGACUUGAGUGCAGAAGAGGAAAGUGGAAUUCCAUGUGUAGCGGUGAAAUGCGUAGAGAUAUGGAGGAACACCAGUGGCGAAGGCGACUUUCUGGUCUGUAACUGACACUGAGGCGCGAAAGCGUGGGGAGCAAACAGGAUUAGAUACCCCUGUAGUC